ensembl:snRNA
GCUUUCCUUGUCUUGGGGUGGACCGGGAGGCUCAAUGAACGGCUAGUGAGAGUCUCCCUGCUGACACCGUAUCAACACAUCCGCAUCACCUGAGCGCAUGCGCUCGGGCAAGGUGCAAUUUUUGGAGCA